CAGUAGCCGCGGUAAUACGGAGGGCGCGAGCGUUACCCGGAUUUACUGGGCGUAAGGGCGUGUAGGCGGCCUGGGGCGUCCCAUGUGAAAGGCCACGGCCCAACCGUGGAGGAGCGUGGGAUACGCUCAGGCUAGAGGGUGGGAGAGGGUGGUGGAAUUCCCGGAGUAGCGGUGAAAUGCGCAGAUACCGGGAGGAACGCCGAUGGCGAAGGCAGCCACCUGGUCCACUUCUGACGCUGAGGCGCGAAAGCGUGGGGAGCAAACCGGAUUAGAUACCCGCGUAGUCCCUGUCUCUUAUACC
rnacentral:rRNA from 1 species